rnacentral:lncRNA from 1 species
UCCUGCCUGAGGAGGGGAGCGGAGAGGGAGCCUGCCCCAGAGGGAGUUCCCAGGAGUGGCCGAGGGUCAUGACUAAGAAACUGAGGAUUGCGGACUGAAGCGGUUUACUGGAAGUACAUUUAGACUCUGGGCUCAGGCAUGAAAUCCUGUAUACUUACCACCACCCCACACGACCUCCUGAUGCUGCUUAGGACUGAAAAGAAUUCGGAGAUAUGUACAAGGCUCUCUGAGGCUUCCCGGGGGUUCCGGGCUGCAA